UUUUUCCAUUUCUUCUAUUUUCUCCUCUCUUCUUCUCUGUCUGGCAGAGAUUCCAUUACCGUCCCCUUCCUCUCAUUAAAUUUCCUUUUUUUUUUUAAAACCCUCAAAUGAACAAACUUUUUCAACGUCAAAUAUCACGCCUCCACAAUCCCUUGUUCUUGCAACCAAACACCCCCCUCUGUUUCAUUUUCUCUGACUAUCACCGCAAAAACCUUCUCUUUUGUCACCAUUUCUGCCCAAUCUUUUCCUUUUGCAUUUGCCCUUUCGUCCUUUUUCACUUGUCCUUUUGAUUUGCUGACACUUCCCAAUAUCCAGGAUUGGUGCAGUUUCUAUUUAGGGUUUUUGAUUAUCUCAUCGCCCCAUUGUUUCCCCAUUUGCUCGUUGUUACUGCUAAUUUUUUGAUUUCUAGAGUUUUUUUAAUCUGGGUUUUGUAGAUUUUCUUGAUAAAAGAAGAAAUUUCAUUUUUUAAUCAUUUUCUCUUGGAAAUUUGUUGGAAUAUUGGCAGUUUUUGAUUUACUUGCUAUUUUAUUACUUCAGAAACUAUCAUACCCAUCCAGGGUUGUUCUCUGAUUGAUCGAAAAGAAACCCUAACUGAAACUAAUUACAAAGUUUUUUUUUUAUUAUUUUGAAAUUUAUUUUCUUUGUUUUUGGUUGGGUUGUGGCGGUUGGGUGGGUUUAGAAAGUUGUUAGAGAGGAAGAGUGGUUAAGGAUUGUAUGGGAGAGCAUGAAGGGUGGGCGGCGCAGCAGCCACCGAGCGGCCUAUGGCCGAACGGUUUGUUACCAAACGAAACCACCUCGGUGGUUAGGAUACUUGACUCGGAGCGAUGGAUGAAGGCUGAGGAAAGAACCGCUGACCUCAUUGCCUGUAUACAGCCCAAUGCACCCUCGGAAGUUCGCCGGAAUGCUGUUGCCGAUUAUGUCCAGCGCCUCAUCUCCAAAUGCUUCCCUUGUCAGGUGUUUACUUUUGGGUCUGUGCCGCUCAAGACAUACUUGCCUGAUGGGGAUAUUGACUUGACGGCCUUUAGUAAGAAUCAAAUUUUGAAGGAUACUUGGGUUCAUCAGGUUCGUGAUAUGCUGGAAAAUGAAGAAAAAAAUGAGAAUGCUGAAUUCCUAGUAAAAGAAGUUCAGUACAUUCAGGCUGAGGUGAAGAUAAUAAAGUGUCUUGUAGAAAAUAUCGUGGUAGACAUUUCAUUUAAUCAGCUUGGUGGAUUAUGUACCCUUUGUUUCCUUGAAGAGGUUGAUCGUUUGAUAAAUCAGAAUCAUUUGUUCAAACGUAGUAUCAUAUUGAUAAAGGCAUGGUGUUAUUAUGAGAGUCGUAUAUUGGGUGCUCAUCAUGGACUUAUCUCAACUUAUGCCCUGGAAACCUUGGUUCUUUACAUAUUCCAUGUUUUUAAUAAGUCCUUUUCUGGACCACUUGAGGUCCUGUAUCGUUUUCUUGAGUUCUUUAGCAAGUUUGAUUGGGAAAAUUUUUGUGUUAGCCUCUGGGGUCCUGUUCCAAUUAGUUCGCUGCCAGACGUAACUGCAUAUCCUCCUCGAAGAGAUGGCGGGGAGUUGUUACUUAGCAAAUAUUUUCUUGAUACUUGUAGUUCAAGAUAUACUGUUUGCCAAGAAAAUCAGGGCCAACUCUUUGUUUCUAAACAUUUCAAUGUGAUCGAUCCUCUGCGUAUAAAUAACAAUCUUGGACGUAGUGUUAGUAAAGGUAAUUUCAUUAGGAUAUGCAGUGCAUUUGCAUUUGGGGCUAAAAAGUUGGACAGAUUACUUGAUUGUCCCAAAGAGGACCUGUACUAUGAAGUAAAUCAAUUCUUUAUGAAUACAUGGGAAAGGCAUGGCAGUGGCCAACGUCCUGAUGCACCGAGUAAUGAUCUGUGGCAUUUGAGAUUGUCAAAUUCGGACCACAAUCAUGGGUCUAAGAAUGUCAGGAACAAUUCAAGCAGCAAAGGAAAUGGUAUUUCCUCUGGGUGUGAAUCUCAAGCUGAAGGAGCUCAAGGAUCAUCUGGUGUUUCCUCACAGCAUGUUAAUUAUCCAUUGGAAAGCAUAACUAAGAUUAAUGAUGUAUCUACUGUCUCUCGUACUCAAAGCCAAAAGAGUUAUGGUAGCAUGAGCAACUCAAAGACAUUUGAUCAGGUUAGAAGGGACACUAAUUCCAAUCAGAAUGUGCAUAAUGAUGCAGGUCACAGAAUUUCCAAAGCAGAGAAUUUGGUGACUGAUGUUCAAGGUAGAUAUCUUUUUGCAAGGACGCGUUCCAGUCCUGAGCUUACUGAAACAUAUGGGGAAGCUACUUCUCAAGGAAGGCGGAACAGAGUGCCAGAGAUUGGGAAAACCCAGAUUGGUUCUAUGAGGUUGGAUAACAACGAGAGGAAGAAUAUGAAAUUUGAUAUGGUGGCAAACCAUAACAUUAAUUCUUCAUGUGAUGAUCCUUCAUCUAUUAGGCAAGCUUCAACCUGUCAAAGCAUUGAUGAUGAUGCUGAUCCAAACAAUUUUCUAAAUAGUUACCAAGAUGAUUUAGGCUUGGGAACUAUAGGUCAGGGCUUCUCUUCAAUUCCAGCCACACAAGGAAUGCAUCAAGAAGAGCAAGAUCUAGUGAACAUGAUGGCAUCUUCUACAGCUAAUGGCUUUAAUGGUCAGGUUCCUCUUCCUCUUAAUUUUGCUGCAGGUCACUUACCUUUUCCUAUCCAUUCUCUAUCAAUGGGAUACGAUCAGAGAAAUUUGGGCGGAAGUGUUCCUUCAAAUAUUCAAAUGUUUCCCCAAGGAUUGGUCUCUUCUCCUUUGGCUCAUUAUAUUUCUGGCAUUGGAUUAGCCUCGAAUUCAGAGGAUCCAAUUGAGCCAGGUAGUGAAAAUUUUGGAUUUCCAGAAAUGAACGCAGGGGAAGUGGAACAUGAGUUAUGGCAUGAACAAGACAGGGGCUCUAGUGGUGGUUUUGAUCUUGAUAAUGGAAGUUUUGAAAUGCUUCACUCAGAUGAUAAGCAACUUUCAACUUCAGCUGGCUAUAAUGUUGUUCCUUCAUCUAGGGUAGGUAGCUCUGGUAGUUCUACCAAAGUCCAACAGAAGUUUACUAAAGAAGCUCGAGGAUCAAGUAGGGAAGAUCAUCUAGAUGUUUGCCAAUAUCAAGAUAACAGAGGUAAUGAUAUUCACUUUGAUGAAAGAACUGCAAGUUCUAGAUCCAUACCUGCUUCACAUACUAGUUCACUCAGAAGUAAAACCUCAUCAGAAAGUUCUUUGGAAGGAUCAUUAGCAAAGGUCUCUAAGCCAGCUAGGGAGAAACGGGGUAGGAAAACAGCUGCUGCUACGCUUCCUUCUGCUGCAUGUGGGAAAGGUAAGAGUGUAUCUGAACAUUCUUCUCAGGCAGGUGACGAUGGCAGAGACUGGAAUCCACCAUCAAUGGUGGGCACUGAAAUGGAAGAAAGAACUACUGGACCUCAAACAGUUGGUUCUUUGCCUGUUCCAAGGCAUCAAAUGCCUGGAUUUGAGGCAGCUCAGGCAAGUGGAUCAGAUCCACUGAUACCCAUCGCUCCAUUCCUCUUAGGUCCCAGUGCAGGGCAAAGAACUAUGGAUAAUUCUGGAGUUCCUACCUUGGCCUUCACGAUAACAGGGCCACCUGUUUCAUUUUUGUUGUGCCCUGUGUACAACAUUCCAGCAGAAACAGGAACUUCAGAUGUAUCAGCAAGCCAUUUUAGUUGGGAUGAAGGUUUGGAUAACAAUAAUUCUGGUCAAAAUUUUGAAUCAUCUGAGGGACUUGAUCAGUCUGAGGUGUCAAGUACUUCUAGUUCUAUGAGAAAGGUUACAUCUCUUGAGCCAUCAGAGCAUAAAUCUGACAUUCUUAAUGGUGACAUUGCUAGCCAUUGGCAAAACCUGCAGUAUGGCCGGUUUUGCCAAAAUUCACGACAUCCUCCACCUUUGGUUUAUCCUUCACCUGUUGUGGUGCCACCUGUCUAUAUACAAGGUCAUUUCCCAUGGGAUUGUCACGGGAGACCUCUUUCAUCCAACAUGAAUAUCUUUUCUCAAUUUGUGAAUUAUGGGCCUUGUAUUGUUCCUGUUACUUCCCUCCAAUCUGUUUCAAAUAGACCUCCCGGUGUAUACCAACAGUAUGUUGAUGAAAUGCCAAGAUAUCGCAGUGGUACUGGGACAUACCUGCCAAACCCUAAAGUCUCAAUGAGAGAACGCCAUUAUGCAAAUUCAAGGAGAGGAAAAUAUAAUUCUGAUAGAAAUGACCACCAUGGUAAUAGAGAAGGGAACUGGAAUGCCAACCCAAAGUCACGAGCUGCUGGCCGCAGCCAUAGUCGCAACCAAAAUGAAAAAUCAAGGUUCACGUUUGAUCAAGUGACAGCUGUUGCUGGUCAGAGCAGAGCCGAGAGGCCUUGGGGCUCACGUAGACAUAAUUCAUUUACUUCAUACCAGUCUCAUAAUGGACCAAUCAGCUCAAACUCUUCAGAAAGUAGUUCUGCCUGCAUGCCAUAUGGCAUGUACCCACUGCCAGCCAUGAAUCCCAGUGGGGUGUCGUCUAAUGGACCUACUAUUCCGUCUGUUGUCAUGCUGUAUCCCUAUGAUCAUAAUUCUGGUUAUAGUUCCCCUUCUGAACAGCUUGAGUUUGGCUCUCUUGGACCAGUGGGUUUCUCAGGCAUGAAUGAAGUAUCACAGCUAAGUGAUGGAAGCAGCUCUGCUGGGGUAUUUGACGAGCAAAGGUUUCAUGGUACCUCUACUCAACAAUCUUCACCAGACCCACCUUCCUCACCCCACCUCCGAAGGUAAUUUGUCUUGUUUAUCUGAGGUAGUUUCUUUAUAAGAAUUACCAAAAGCAGUCAGCCCGAAAAGUACCCUGCAUCUAUACUAUUGUCGAACUGCCAUUGCUGGUCUAGCAAUAGAGUUGAUGGUUGAGUAAUUUCUGUGGGCCAACUCGAAUGAGCUGCAUGGAAAUGGCUGCCUGCUCCCCACCCUCUUCCAGGCUGGUGUUCUCAUAUUUCUGCAGGGGACUUUGAUUUUAUUGCCAGAUCAGUGGCCCAGAAGGAUUACAAUUGAAAGAUGAGGAUUCCCCACCCCUUGCUUUUCCAUUUGAGGGAAGAAAUGAUGGUGGGGGUACCUACAAUGAGAAAACCUCCCCUUUCCGGGCUUUUUUGUGCUCAUCUCACUCAUUAAAGCAAGAUUCAGUGAUUUUUUCUUACAAGAUGGUCGCUCAUGCUUCCUGCCUUGUGCUUGUAUGUGCACUAUGAAUGAUGAAAAUCAUUUUAUGAAAGUUCUCUGAUUUUGAGGAUAUCAUAGAGUAAUGGUGAAAUAUAUGCAGGAGUCAAAGGUUAAGAGUUUAAAUUUAGGGUUCUACACAUUGUAACUGAAAUAGGAUCUCUUUAGGAUUAUAACUGAAAUAGGGUUUUUUCAUUUUUUUUUUUCUACUUUAUAAUUUCAGUCUACUAGCUCUCUUUUGUUAACCUUCUUGUUGAAAGUUACCAGUGUAUUGAUAGCAUUUACAUGGUAAAAAAUGAAGUUACAGAAACAGAAACUAGGUGUUUUCAUGGUUGUUUCAUCUUUCAUGGCAUUUAUUUUUAGUAGUUAGAUUAUCAAGAUUUGAACUAUGAUCACCAAAUCAAUCGAUGAUGUGAAUAUGGACUAUGAUCACCAAACUGUCCUUGUCUAGUACUUAAAAAUACAAAAUUUGUCUCGAAGAUAUGAAUGAAGUCUGUUAGUAUCUUUGAUCGGCUGUUCGUGAAUAUGUUUAAUUUUUGCUUUUA